rnacentral:snRNA from 1 species
GUGCUCGCUUCGGCUGCACAUAUACUAAAAUUGGAACGAUACAGAGAUUAUCGUGUCCCCUGCACAAGGAUGACACGCAAAUUCGUGAAGUGUUCCAUAUUUAA